AACCAUAGCAUGCAUAUUAUUUCAAAUAAAAGUCCACUCACUAAUUAGGCCUAAGCCUGAUGUCGAUCUGGGGUCUCGUCUGCUCGAGCCUCCUCACGUCCUGUUCCAAAUAUAAUAUUAAUUUCCCAACCAAUAAUCCAAUAUUUAAUCAAAAUAGGCAAAAUUACCCGAGAGCCAUAAUUACGCUCAUCAUUGCCUAACUUCGAUAUUCUUACAUCGAAACAAUCCGAACUUAAAUAUCAUACUCAAUAGUCGUAAAUACAACCUCUCCAAAAUACAACUUAAAUCUUACGGCCGGAUUCUACAUUAAUUAACCGCCAAAAAUACCAAACUUCGGAAAUUCACAAACCUAUCCAAAUCUCAUCCAAAAAUUCCAUAAUUCACUUCAAUAAUAUCCCCUUAAUAUUCUACAUCAAAAACCAUAAAAAUCUCCUAACCGGCGGCGGCGCCGCCGGCGGCUCCGCCGGUAGCGGCGGCCGGCAGCCGUUUUCCGGCGACCUGCAAAUGCUACCAAAUUUUAACAGAAUCUUCCUCUCAAUCUCCUCUACAACUUUCAUGACUAACACAUCACCCAAUUCCAAGCCUAACUAGGCUAAUCGAACGAAAACAACUUAAAAGCCUAGAAAUUUCAACUCCACAUUUCUCCUUACCUAGCUCAAGAGGGAGGGAGCUGCUUGGAGGGGUUGUUGCACGGGAGGAGGGCUACAAAACCGUACCAAGCUUGCCCGGAUUGGUGGCCGGAGGAGGAAGUUCCUGCGAAGGGAAGCUCGGGGCAGCCUAGCCUUUCGGGCGGCACCGCUCACUCACGGCGGAGCUAGAGCUCCUCUCACCGGUCCAGGAAGGCUGCUGGGUUGGAGGUCGAUCGAUUGGAACCGGUGCGGCGGUCUGGGGCGGCCGGACGGCGGCGAACGGCGGUGGUGAAGUUUCCCGGGUGGAGGGAGAAGAAACUCGGGUGGGAAGAGAGAAAAUCGGGAGAGAGGGAGAAGAGAAAGAAGAAGAAAUGGGUUGGG
rnacentral:lncRNA from 1 species